rnacentral:rRNA from 1 species
ACGCUAUGGGAGCGGCCGAUGUCCGAUUAGCUAGUUGGUGGGGUAAAGGCCUACCAAGGCGACGAUCGGUAGCUGGUCUGAGAGGAUGAUCAGCCACACUGGGACUGAGACACGGCCCAG